rnacentral:rRNA from 1 species
GACGAACGCUGGCGGCGUGCUUAACACAUGCAAGUCGAACGGAAAGGCCCUGCUUGCAGGGUACUCGAGUGGCGAACGGGUGAGUAACACGUGGGUGAUCUGCCCUGCACUUCGGGAUAAGCCUGGGAAACUGGGUCUAAUACCGGAUAUGACCUUCCAUGUAGUGUGGGGGGUGGAAGGAUUUAUCGGUGUGGGAUGAGCCCGCGGCCUAUCUGCUUGUUGGUGGGGUAAUGGCCUACCAAGGCGUCGACGGGUAGCCGGCCUGAGAGGGUGGACGGCCACAUUGGGACUGAGAUACGGCCCAGACUCCUACGGGAGGCAGCAGUGGGGAAUAUUGCACAAUGGGCGGAAGCCUUAUGCAGCGACGCCGCGUGGGGGAUGACGGCCUUCGGGUUGUAAACCUCUUUCGACAGGGACGAAGCUUCGGUGACGGUACCUGUAUAAGAAGCACCGGCUAACUACGUG